rnacentral:rRNA from 1 species
AUUGAACGCUGGCGGCAGGCCUAACACAUGCAAGUCGAGCGGAUGAAGGGAGCUUGCUCCUGGAUUCAGCGGCGGACGGGUGAGUAAUGCCUAGGAAUCUGCCUGGUAGUGGGGGAUAACGUCCGGAAACGGGCGCUAAUACCGCAUACGUCCUGAGGGAGAAAGUGGGGGAUCUUCGGACCUCACGCUAUCAGAUGAGCCUAGGUCGGAUUAGCUAGUUGGUGGGGUAAAGGCCUACCAAGGCGACGAUCCGUAACUGGUCUGAGAGGAUGAUCAGUCGCACUGGAACUGAGACACGGUCCAGACUCCUACGGGAGGCAGCAGUGGGGAAUAUUGGACAAUGGGCGAAAGCCUGAUCCAGCCAUGCCGCGUGUGUGAAGAAGGUCUUCGGAUUGUAAAGCACUUUAAGUUGGGAGGAAGGGCAGUAAGUUAAUACCUUGCUGUUCUGACGUUACCAACAGAAUAAGCACCGGCUAACUUCGUG